GACGUAGGGCGCAAGCGUUGUCCGGAUUUAUUGGGCGUAAAGAGCUCGUAGGCGGCUUGUUGCGUCGACCGUGAAAACCCGCGGCUCAACCGUGUGGCUUGCAGUCGAUACGGGCAGGCUAGAGUUCGGUAGGGGAGACUGGAAUUCCUGGUGUAGCGGUGAAAUGCGCAGAUAUCAGGAGGAACACCGGUGGCGAAGGCGGGUCUCUGGGCCGAUAUUGACGCUGAGGAGCGAAAGCGUGGGGAGCGAACAGG
rnacentral:rRNA from 1 species